rnacentral:rRNA from 1 species
GGGAUUGCCCUAGUAACGGCGAGUGAAGCGGCAACAGCUCAAAUUUGAAAUCUGGCCCUAGGCCCGAGUUGUAAUUUGCAGAGGAUGCUUUUGGCGAAGUGCUUACCGAGUCCCCUGGAAUGGGGCGCCACAGAGGGUGAGAGCCCCGUAUGGUUUGCCACUGAACCUUUGUAAAGCUCCUUCGACGAGUCGAGUAGUUUGGGAAUGCUGCUCUAAAUGGGAGGUAAAUUUCUUCUAAAGCUAAAUACCGGCCAGAGACCGAUAGCGCACAAGUAGAGUGAUCGAAAGAUGAAAAGCACUUUGAAAAGAGGGUUAAAUAGCACGUGAAAUUGUUGAAAGGGAAGCGCUUGUGACCAGACUUGCGCCCGGCGGAUCAUCCAGGGUUCUCCCUGGUGCACUCCGUCGGGCUCAGGCCAGCAUCGGUUUUCGCCGGGGGACAAAGGCUUCGGGAACGUGGCUCUCCUUCGGGAGAGUGUUAUAGCCCGUUGCGUAAUACCCCGGCGGGGACCGAGGACCGCGCUUCGGCAAGGAUGCUGGCGUAAUGGUCAUCAGCGACCCGUCUUGAAACACGGACCGAGGAGUCAAGCAUUAGUGCGAGUGUUUGGGUGUAAAACCCGCACGCGUAAUGAAAGUGAACGUAGGUGAGAGCUUCGGCGCAUCAUCGACCGAUCCUGAUGUUUUCGGAUGGAUUUGAGUAGGAGCAUUAACGCUUGGACCCGAAAGAUGGUGAACUAUACUUGAAUAGGGUGAAGCCAGAGGAAACUCUGGUGGAGGCUCGCAGCGGUUCUGACGUGCAAAUCGAUCGUCAAAUUUG